rnacentral:rRNA from 1 species
GACGAACGCUGGCGGCGUGCCUAACACAUGCAAGUCGAGCGAAGCGCCUUACUUGAUUUCUUCGGGAUGAAAGUAUUGUGACUGAGCGGCGACGGGUGAGUAACGCGUGGAUAACCUGCCUCAUACAGGGGGAUAACAGUUAGAAAUGACUGCUAAUACCGCAUAAUGUCAUUUGGGGGCAUCCCUGGAUGACCAAAGAUUUAUUGCUGAAAGAUGGUCUCGCGUCUGAUUAGCUGGUUGGCGGGGUAACGGCCCACCAAGGCGACGAUCAGUAGCCGGUCUGAGAGGAUGAACGGCCACAUUGGGACUGAGACACGGCCCAG